rnacentral:lncRNA from 1 species
UCUAAGAUUGAUAGUGUUUUCCUUUUUCUUUUUUUUUUUUGCAAUAUGACUUAGUUUGCUUUUGAUGUCUUUGGCGUCUUCUUAAUACUUAUGAUUUUGUUUUUUUAAAGCAUUUUCAAGACUUUGUUAUCACCAUAUACUUUAUGUAGCUCAUGUUACAAUCAAUUGUUGUAACAUUGACCAACUUUUUGUGCUUUAGUGUUGACUUGUCCCUUUCUCUUCUCGAGAUAAAUAGUUCAUCCUUUAUCUUGUUGAUGCUCAU